rnacentral:lncRNA from 1 species
CUGGCUCCUAUGCUCACCCUUUCUUCAAACUGUGCCCCAAGGCCCUUCUGCCUCUUCCCUGUCUGCCUCCCUACUGUGGGAGCUGGUGCUGGGUGUUGUGAUUACUCUGAGAGGGAGUGGGGACAGCUCCUGGCCCCAAACCUUCCUGGCAAGCUGAGCAACCCCAGGCAAGCCUGUGGCAGACUCCACCCAACCUCGGAGCUGAGCUGGCUGAUCCCACAUUCUGCCAUAGGGCUGGGAUUUCUUUCCUUUCUUCCUGACACAAUCCAGGCAGCAUCACCCACCAAAUGCUGGCUGCCCCUGCGGUCCUUCCCCAAGAUCUCUUGGCUGUGCCCCAAGCCCUUUCUCGGCCCUGUGAUGGGAACUCCAAGCUGUUUAUUCUCAGUCGAACCAAGCGGAAAGAGGGGGAGACAGAUGGAAAGAUGGAACCAAGGAGUUGUUUCUUCCCUGGGAGUUUGGGCACUGUGAGAGUGUGUCCCUUUUGGCCAUAUAUUCACGGGGCUUUGGAUCAAGCAAGACCCACAUUGGAUGGGGACAGCGUCCCAGCCACAGUGAGAGGGACAGCUCUGAGUACCCGCAGUGCACCUGGGAAGGCGCUGAGCCAUUAGCUGAUCUGAGAUCUCCUGAUGAGCCUUAUCAGGGUGGCGGGGCUGGCGGAUGCUUCACCCCCCACUGAAGCUACAGAGGAAUCUCAGCCUCUUAUCUCUGACUGCAUCCAGUGGCUGCUGCAACCCCCUGAGCCUCCAUGNNNNNNNNNNNNNNNNNNNNNNNNNNNNNNNUGCUGUCUCACAGAGCGCAGUGAGGGCAUCACCCACCCCCAUCCCUCGUCCCCAGCUGCUUUUGGGGCACGCAUUGCUGUCAGCAGACUGAAAAGGGUUACCUGUUCCCUACUACCCACAGGAGCCAAAAAUAGCGGGGAUCGUUAUUAAUAGUGAUCCUCAUUCCCCACGCUGGAACAUCUCCCUUUGUAGCCAUUUCUGGCAAUACCAAGGGUCUAAUUAACAUUUUUUUUUAAAUUUCCCUGUUUUAUUCAAUUUAUUGUCUGUCUUAACUAACAGCUUUAUCUGCCUUUGGGUUUUAUGCAGUUCUGUCUCUUCUUCUUCAAAAAAAAACCCCUUAUUACUUUAAUCUGAGUCAGCAGCCAUCACACUUAUGCACUGAGUUUUAACAUCUUUGUCCCUAAUUCCUCUGAGCACCGCUGCCUUAGCAGUGUUGCAGCCUCCCUACCUCACAGGGUUAACUUUGGCUUCUGUAGCUGACUCUGUCCGAGGUAAUUGGAAUAUUUCAUUAUUCAUUAUCUCCCUCUCCAGCCUGAUUAUGCCCCAUUUGUUCUCGGAGGACUGAGUCAGAUUUUGGUACUUUCCUCCCUAAUUUCAGAGACCACUUGGGGCUGCCCUGUGUUUCAGCAGCCCUUUACUUUUGGCUGUACAGAUCCCUCUGUUCAUUCAUCGGUUCUACAGGCAAAAGG